rnacentral:tRNA from 1 species
GGGGAUUUAGCUCAGCGGCAUAAGCGCCUGCCUUGCAAGCAUGUGGUCGUGAGUUCAAUCCCUA